rnacentral:lncRNA from 1 species
UGGGGCUAUGUAGAAUAAGUAGUUAUUUGUUGAAUUGUAGAUACUUAGUUUAUAGUGUAAAUAAGGAUAGAUGACUGUUGAAAAGGUAGUUCAGUAGGAAAAAUGGAUGAAUAGUUAGAAAAAGUAGUUUUCAUUAGAGAUGUAGCAGUUGGUAUCUCGUGGUAGCAUAAGAAGGAUGGGAGAGAGGAAGUAGGGGCCAGACUGUGAUAGUGUGAGCUGGGGUAAGCUUGGUGCUACUUC